rnacentral:rRNA from 1 species
UACGGAGGGAGCUAGCGUUGUUCGGAAUUACUGGGCGUAAAGCGCACGUAGGCGGCUUUGUAAGUUAGAGGUGAAAGCCCGGGGCUCAACCCCGGAAUUGCCUUUAAGACUGCAUCGCUUGAAUCCAGGAGAGGUGAGUGGAAUUCCGAGUGUAGAGGUGAAAUUCGUAGAUAUUCGGAAGAACACCAGUGGCGAAGGCGGCUCACUGGACUGGUAUUGACGCUGAGGCGCGAAAGCCAGGGGAGCAAACGGG